UGCAAGUCGAACGAUGACGUCACUGCUUGCAGUGACUGAUUAGUGGCGAACGGGUGAGUAACACGUGAGGAACUUGCCCAUGAGCGGGGGACAACAUUCGGAAACGGAUGCUAAUACCCCAUAGGUGGAUUGGUCGCAUGACGAAUUCAUUAAAGGUGGCUUUGCUACCACUCAUGGAUAGCCUCGCGGCGUAUUAGCCAGUUGGUAAGGUAAUGGCUUACCAAGGCAGUGAUACGUAGCCGACUUGAGAGGGUGAUCGGCCACACUGGGACUGAGACACGGCCCAGACUCCUACGGGAGGCAGCAGUAGGGAAUCUUCCACAAUGGGUGCAAACCUGAUGGAGCAAUGCCGCGUGAGUGAAGAAGGUCUUCGGAUCGUAAAGCUCUGUUGUUAGAGAAGAACACGUGCUAGGUAACUACUAGCGCCUUGACGGUAUCUAACCAGAAAGUCACGGCUAACUACGUGCCAGCAGCCGCGGUAAUACGUAGGUGACAAGCGUUGUCCGGAUUUAUUGGGCGUAAAGGGAGCGCAGGCGGUCUGUUUAGUCUAAUGUGAAAGCCCACGGCUUAACCGUGGAACGGCAUUGGAAACUGACAGACUUGAAUGUAGAAGAGGAAAAUGGAAUUCCAAGUGUAGCGGUGGAAUGCGUAGAUAUUUGGAGGAACACCAGUGGCGAAGGCGAUUUUCUGGUCUAACAUUGACGCUGAGGCUCGAAAGCGUGGGGAGCGAACAGGAUUAGAUACCCUGGUAGUCCACGCCGUAAACGAUGAGUGCUAAGUGUUGGGGGCUU
rnacentral:rRNA from 1 species